rnacentral:rRNA from 1 species
AUUGAACGCUGGCGGCAGGCCUAACACAUGCAAGUCGAGCGGAUGAAGGGAGUUUGCUCCUGGAUUCAGCGGCGGACGGGUGAGUAAUGCCUAGGAAUCUGCCUGGUAGUGGGGGAUAACGUCCGGAAACGGGCGCUAAUACCGCAUACGUCCUGAGGGAGAAAGUGGGGGAUCUUCGGACCUCACGCUAUCAGAUGAGCCUAGGUCGGAUUAGCUAGUUGGUGGGGUAAAGGCCUACCAAGGCGACGAUCCGUAACUGGUCUGAGAGGAUGAUCGGUCACACGGGAAGUGAGACACGGUCCAGACUCCUACGGGAGGCAGCAGUGGGGAAUAUUGGACAGUGGGCGAAAGCCUGAUCCAGCCAUGCCGCGUGUGUGAAGACGGUCUUCGGAUUGUAAAGCACUUUAAGUUGGGAGGAAGGGCAGUAAGUUAAUACCUAGCUGUUUUGACGGUACCAACAGAAUAAGCACCGGCUAACUUCGUG